GAGCAGAGGGCUGCAUCGCCGGAGUAGGAGACGAACGAUCCCCUUCAAAGCAGGUGAUCAAGGAUUUGUCACCCGGACGUAAGAAAUUGGAAAGUAUAUUGCUAUGAUUAAGACCACUAGGAGCAGGGAGCUUGAUGUUAUUCAGGGUUGGGGUAAUUAAAAAUGUUAUGUAAUAAUCAGAUUUUAGAAGCUCUGUACUGUUCCAACUUCAUGAACAAUGUUAUGACAUCCUUUUCGUUACUGUCUCUUGGGUACCCCCACCCCUUGGCUAUCUCAAAAUAAAUUUCGAUGGCAGUAGGUCACUAGACGGUUUGACUGGAGGGGUCGGCUUUGUGAUCAGGGAUCACGGUGGUAGGUUGGUGGCUGCAGGUGGGCGUCGGACUCCUGGGAUCACAGUUGUUGGUGCGGAGCUGCGGGCUGCUUGGGAGGGCUUAUCCUAUGCCAGGCAGGUCCUUGGAGCCGAGCGAGUGUUCCUCGAGGGAGACUCUACGGUGGUGAUCGAUUGGAUCCGGGGGAUGGACAGGUACGGUGACGGUCACCCCCUUAUUCGGGAGACUCGGAGGAUGGCUCAGAUGAUGGUCGGUUUCCAGAUUGGUCAUGUGUUUAGAGAGGCGAACAGGGCCGCCGACUGGGUCGCCUCUUUUGUGGCCCGGCAUUCCGGGGAUGUUUUGUGGACGUCUACUAUAGACGCUCCUUCUCCUUUGUUGUCUUUUAUUUCUUCGGACAGGGCGGGUUGUACUCAUGUUAGAUCUAUUUGAAUGAGUAGCCGUUUUUACCAAAAAAAAAAAAAAAA